UCUAAAUUUGACAGUCCCCACACGGUAUUGUAGAAGCAGCAGCAACAGCUCUGUAUGGGGUGUAUCGCAACUUUGAAAGAUGACAUGCAGAAAGUCACCACCAACUGCGCUCUCUCCGUUCACUUCCUUCCCCAUUUUGCCCUUCAUCUUUUCAUCUUUUUACCUUCUUGUCCUUCCUAACAUUUUUUCUUUUCUAUUGGGAAAAUCGGAUUCUUUCUGGCCAUUGAGAAGCAUGGCGUGGAGAAGGACAUUGUCGAGUACAUCAAGAAGGAGUUCGAUAAGAAGUAUGGCGCCACUUGGCAUUGCAUCGUUGGGCGCAAUUUUGGGGUUCAACGAAAACUGGAAAUGGAUUAUCAGGUUGCUAGUAAAAAAGAGAAGUCACUAAAGAGCUAUGCCAAAUAGCCGAGGCAGCAACCACUAGCAAGAAACACCCCAGGUAUGCACAUACUAUUUAAUUAGGCUAAAGAUUACAAAAUAUAUGAAGCUUUGUAGUGGAAAUAAUGGCUCUUCAAUGGAGCUCAUCAUUUUAUUGAGUUAUCUCAAGAAAGUGUACUUCUAUAUUCAUGCAUGCAUACUGUGAUUGUGAUGAGGCUGUUAACUGGAUGGUUUUUUGGUAGAUUGUAGCAUUGUCAAUGACAGGUGCUGAGUGCAUAAAGUUAACCAAAGGCCUGACGUCUCAUGUUUCACAUUAAAAUUAUGAUCCGCAACCAAGCUUGAUCCUUCUGUUGCUUGUGUAUUUCUCCCAGCCCAAAUGCCUUAUGUCAUUAUAGCAAGUAGGCUGUUAAAGUUGAAGAUAUAGAUCCUAAAAAAAUGAUUAAAAUGUAGCCCCCCAAUGCCCUGUUUGGUUGUCACUUUUUUAUAUUUAUUCAGUAAGUUCGGGAGUGU